rnacentral:lncRNA from 1 species
GUUUGAUCCGGGAUUCCAUCAUGCUCCGCGUUUCCAGCUUCCCCAGGAGGAGCAGCUCGGCGCCUUCCUCCGCCUCCCGCCCCGCAAUUCCCGGAGAACCUAUUGUUCCCACCUCGGAUUUCCUGCUUCCAGGGAGAAAAGAGGGAGAGGAGGCUCUGGGGACGGGUGGGAAAGGGAGGUGGGAGGUUUUAUCCAGGUGGGAAGGAGGUGGAGGUUCUGAUCCAAGUGGGAAGGAGGAGGGAGGUUCUGAUCCAGGUGGGAAGGAGGAGGGAGGUUCUGAUCCAGGUGGGAAUGAGGAGGGAGGUUCUGAUCCAGGUGGGAAUGAGGAGGGAGGUUCUGAUCCAGGUGGGAAUGAAGGAGGAGGUUCUGAUCCAGGUGGGAACAAGGAGGGAAGCUCUGCUCCAGGUGGGAAGCAGGAGGGAAGCUCUGCUCCAGCUGGGAAGAAGAAGGGAAGCUCUGCUCCAGGUGGGAAAGGAGCUGGAAGCUUUUAUCCAGGUGGGAAUGAAGGGGGAGCUUCUGAUCCCGGUGUGGGAAGGAGAGGAAGGCUCUGAUCCAGGUGGGAAUGAGAAGGGAGGUUCUGAUCCAGGUGGGAAUGAGGAGGGAGGUUCUGAUCCAGGUGGGAAUGAGGAGAGAGGCUCUGAUCCAAGCAAGAAAGGAGAUGGAAGCUUUUAUCCAGCUGGGAAUGAGAAGGGAGCUUCUGAUCCUGGUGUGGGAAGGAGCUGGAAGCUUUUAUCCAGGUGGGAAUGAGGAGAGAGGCUCUGAUUCCAGUGGGAAAGGAGAUGGAGGUUCUGAUCCAGGUGGGAAUGAGGAGGGAGGUUCUGAUCCAGGUGGGAAUGAGGAGGGAGGUUCUGAUCCAGGUGGGAAUGAGGAGGGAGCUUCUGAUCCUAGGGUGGGAAGGAGAGGGAGGUUCUGAUCCAGGUGGGAAUGAAGAAGGAGGUUCUGAUCCAAGCAGGAAAGGAGAUGGGAGCUUUUAUCCAGGUGGGAAUGAAGGGGGAGCUUCUGAUCCUGGUGUGGGAAGGAGCUGGAAGCUUUUAUCCAGGUGGGAAUGAGGAGAGAGGCUCUGAUUCCAGUGGGAAAGGAGCUGGAGGUUCUGAUCCAGGUGGGAAUGAGGAGGGAGCUUCUGAUCCAGGUGGGAAAGGAGAUGGAAGCUUUUAUCCAGGUGGGAACAAAGAGAGAGCUUCUUAUCCGGGCGUGGGAAGGAGAGGGAGGUUCUGAUCCAGGUGGGAACGAGGAGGGAAGCUCUGAUCCAAGUGGGAAUGAGAAGGGAAGCUCUGAUCCAGCUGGGAAGCAGGAGGGAAGCUCUGAUCCAGGUGGGAAUGAGGAGGGAAGCUCUGCUCCAGGUGGGAAGGAGGAGGGAAGCUCUGAUCCAGGUGGGAAUGAGGAGGGAAGCUCUGCUCCAGGUGGGAAUGAAGAGGGAAGCUCUGCUCCAGCUGGGAAGCAGGAGGGAAGCUCUGCUCCAGGUGGGAAAGCCGAGGCCGGGCCCAGCCGGGGCAGGACACGGGAAUUCUGGGAGCUGGACGAUCCCUUCCCGCU